rnacentral:rRNA from 1 species
GAACGCUGGCGGCGUGCUUAACACAUGCAAGUCGAACGGUGAAACCAGAGCUUGCUCUGGUGGAUCAGUGGCGAACGGGUGAGUAACACGUGAGUAACCACCCGGACUUCGGGAUAACCCCGGGAAACCGGAGCUAAUACCGAAUACGAGGCGUACAGGCAUCUGUAGCGUCUGGAAAGAUUUAUCGGUCCGGGACGGACUCACGGCCUAUCAGCUUGUUGGUGAGGUAAAGGCUCACCAAGGCAACGACGGGUAGCCGGCCUGAGAGGGUGACCGGCCACACUGGGACUGAGAUACGGCCCAGACUCCUACGGGAGGCAGCAGUGGGGAAUAUUGCACAAUGGGCGCAAGCCUGAUGCCAGCGACGCCGCGUGAGGGAUGACGGCCUUCGGGUUGUAAACCUCUUUCAGUAGGGAAGAAGCGAGAGUGACGGUACCUGCAGAAGAAGCACCGGCUAACUACGUGCCAGCCGCAGC